GACAGAGGUGCCGAGCGUUAGGCGGAAUCACUGGGCUUAAAGCGUGUGUAGGCGGGCCGUUAAGUGCCAUUGUGAAAUCCCCCGGCUCAACCGGGGAACGGCUGGGCCAUACUGGCGGCCUUGAGUCACUCAGGGGUCAGCGGAACAAACGGUGGAGCGGUGAAAUGCGUAGAUAUCGUUUGGAACGCCGACGGCGAAAGCAGCUGACUGGGAGUGAUCUGACGCUGAGAC
rnacentral:rRNA from 1 species